rnacentral:rRNA from 1 species
CUCAGAUUGAACGCUGGCGGCAUGCUUUACACAUGCAAGUCGAACGGGCUUGGGGGCUUGCUCCCAAGUUAGUGGCGAACGGGUGAGUAAUACAUCGGAACGUACCGUGUAGUGGGGGAUAACGUAGCGAAAGUUACGCUAAUACCGCAUACGAUCUACGGAUGAAAGCAGGGGACCUUCGGGGCCUUGUGCUAUACGAGCGGCCGAUGUCUGAUUAGCUAGUUGGUGAGGUAAAAGGCUCACCAAGGCGACGAUCAGUAGCGGGUCUGAGAGGAUGAUCCGCCACACUGGGACUGAGACACGGCCCAGACUCCUACGGGAGGCAGCAGUGGGGAAUUUUGGACAAUGGGCGAAAGCCUGAUCCAGCCAUGCCGCGUGUCUGAAGAAGGCCUUCGGGUUGUAAAGGACUUUUGUCAGGGAGCAAAACUUACUGGUUAAUACCCGGUGAGGCUGAGAGUACCUGAAGAAUAAGC